UUUAUAUGAGAGUUUGAUCCUGGCUCAGGAUGAACGCCGGCGGUGUGCCUAAUACAUGCAAGUCGUACGCACUGGCCCAACUGAUUGAUGGUGCUUGCACCUGAUUGACGAUGGAUCACCAGUGAGUGGCGGACGGGUGAGUAACACGUAGGUAACCUGCCCCGGAGCGGGGGAUAACAUUUGGAAACAGAUGCUAAUACCGCAUAACAACAAAAGCCACAUGGCUUUUGUUUGAAAGAUGGCU
rnacentral:rRNA from 1 species